rnacentral:lncRNA from 1 species
UGUGUAAGAAUUCCCUGCACUUAGGCUGUGUGUAAUGAAAAGGGUUGGGAUGAAUCAAGGAGAGCUAGGGUGGGGGCAGUCUCUAAAGCUGUCUUCAAGGAACGGAAAGAGGAGAAGGGAGAAAGGAAAGGGAAGGGAAAGGAAAAGGAAAAGGAAAGGACCUGAUGAGCGUUUCUACAUGGAGGUCACCUAUGGUCAAAGGUAGGAGAUAAAAGUAGAAGGAAAUAAAGGAC